GAUGAACGCUAGCUAUAGGCUUAACACAUGCAAGUCGAGGGCCCGGCGCACGGGUGAGUAACGCGUAUCCAACCUGCCCAUAACUAAGUGAUAACCCAGCGAAAGAUGGACUAAUACCUUAUGGUUAUGGAUGGGAAUGCGUUUGAUUAGCUUGUUGGCGGGGUAACGGCCCACCAACGCAACGAUCAUUAGGGGUUCUGAGAGGGAGCUCCACCACAUUGGAACUAAGACACGGUCCAAACUCCUACGCGACGGAGCAGUGUGUAAUAUUUGUCAAUGGACGCAAGUCUGACCCAGCCAAGUAGCGGGCAGGAUGCUGGCGUUUGGGUUGUAAACUGCUUUUAUAUGGGGAUCGGUACCAUCUGAAUAAGGACCGGCUAAUUCCGUGCCAGCAGCCGCGGUAAUUC
rnacentral:rRNA from 1 species